rnacentral:rRNA from 2 species
AAAUUGAAGAGUUUGAUCAUGGCUCAGAUUGAACGCUGGCGGCAGGCCUAACACAUGCAAGUCGAGCGGUAGCACAGAGAGCUUGCUCUCGGGUGACGAGCGGCGGACGGGUGAGUAAUGUCUGGGAAACUGCCUGAUGGAGGGGGAUAACUACUGGAAACGGUAGCUAAUACCGCAUAAUGUCGCAAGACCAAAGUGGGGGACCUUCGGGCCUCAUGCCAUCAGAUGUGCCCAGAUGGGAUUAGCUAGUAGGUGGGGUAACGGCUCACCUAGGCGACGAUCCCUAGCUGGUCUGAGAGGAUGACCAGCCACACUGGAACUGAGACACGGUCCAGACUCCUACGGGAGGCAGCAGUGGGGAAUAUUGCACAAUGGGCGCAAGCCUGAUGCAGCCAUGCCGCGUGUGUGAAGAAGGCCUUCGGGUUGUAAAGCACUUUCAGCGGGGAGGAAGGCGGUGAGGUUAAUAACCUCAUCGAUUGACGUUACCCGCAGAAGAAGCACCGGCUAACUCCGUGCCAGCAGCCGCGGUAAUACGGAGGGUGCAAGCGUUAAUCGGAAUUACUGGGCGUAAAGCGCACGCAGGCGGUCUGUCAAGUCGGAUGUGAAAUCCCCGGGCUUAACCUGGGAACUGCAUUCGAAACUGGCAGGCUAGAGUCUUGUAGAGGGGGGUAGAAUUCCAGGUGUAGCGGUGAAAUGCGUAGAGAUCUGGAGGAAUACCGGUGGCGAAGGCGGCCCCCUGGACAAAGACUGACGCUCAGGUGCGAAAGCGUGGGGAGCAAACAGGAUUAGAUACCCUGGUAGUCCACGCCGUAAACGAUGUCGAUUUGGAGGUUGUGCCCUUGAGGCGUGGCUUCCGGAGCUAACGCGUUAAAUCGACCGCCUGGGGAGUACGGCCGCAAGGUUAAAACUCAAAUGAAUUGACGGGGGCCCGCACAAGCGGUGGAGCAUGUGGUUUAAUUCGAUGCAACGCGAAGAACCUUACCUGGUCUUGACAUCCACAGAACUUUCCAGAGAUGGAUUGGUGCCUUCGGGAACUGUGAGACAGGUGCUGCAUGGCUGUCGUCAGCUCGUGUUGUGAAAUGUUGGGUUAAGUCCCGCAACGAGCGCAACCCUUAUCCUUUGUUGCCAGCGGUUAGGCCGGGAACUCAAAGGAGACUGCCAGUGAUAAACUGGAGGAAGGUGGGGAUGACGUCAAGUCAUCAUGGCCCUUACGACCAGGGCUACACACGUGCUACAAUGGCAUAUACAAAGAGAAGCGACCUCGCGAGAGCAAGCGGACCUCAUAAAGUAUGUCGUAGUCCGGAUUGGAGUCUGCAACUCGACUCCAUGAAGUCGGAAUCGCUAGUAAUCGUAGAUCAGAAUGCUACGGUGAAUACGUUCCCGGGCCUUGUACACACCGCCCGUCACACCAUGGGAGUGGGUUGCAAAAGAAGUAGGUAGCUUAACCUUCGGGAGGGCGCUUACCACUUUGUGAUUCAUGACUGGGGUGAAGUCGUAACAAGGUAACCGUAGGGGAACCUGCGGUUGGAUCACCUCCUUACCUUAAAGAA